GGGGUGAUUAUUUCUGAUGACUUAAAGGUAGGCAGACAAUGUAAUAGAGCAGCAGGAAAUGCUAGCAGAAUGCUUGGUUGUAUAGGGAGAGGUAUUAGCAGUAGAAAGAGGGAAGCGCUCAUGCCAUUGUACAGAACACUGGUGAGACCUCACUUGGAGUAUUGUACACAGUACUGGAGACCGUAUCUUCAGAAGGAUAUUGAUACCUUUAGAGAGGGUUCAGAGAAGGGCUACUAAACUGGUUCAUGGAUUGCAGGAUAAAACUUACCAGGAAAGGUUAAAGGAUCUUAACAUGUAUAGCUUGGAGGAAAGACG